rnacentral:rRNA from 1 species
GUGCCAGCAGCCGCGGUAAUACGUAGGGUGCAAGCGUUAAUCGGAAUUACUGGGCGUAAAGCGUGCGCAGGCGGUCUUGCAAGACAGAUGUGAAAUCCCCGGGCUUAACCUGGGAACUGCAUUUGUGACUGCAAGGCUGGAGUACGGUAGAGGGGGAUGGAAUUCCGCGUGUAGCAGCGAAAUGCGUAGAUAUGCGGAGGAACACCGAUGGCGAAGGCAAUCCCCUGGACCUGUACUGACGCUCAUGCACGAAAGCGUGGGGAGCAAACAGGAUUAGAUACCCCGGUAGUCC